rnacentral:rRNA from 1 species
GAUGAGCGCUGGCGGCGUGCCUAGUACAUGCAAGUCGAGCGGUAAGGCCCCUUCGGGGGUACACGAGCGGCGGACGGCUGAGUAACACGUAGGAACGUACCCCAAAGUGAGGGAUAACUGCUCGAAAGAGUAGCUAAUACCGCAUGUGAUCUACGGAUUAAAGCUUUAUGCGCUUUGGGAACGGCCUGCGUCCGAUUAGCUUGUUGGUGAGGUAAUAGCUCACCAAGGCGAUGAUCGGUAGCUGGUCUGAGAGGAUGAUCAGCCAGACUGGGACUGAGACACGGCCCAGACUCCUACGGGAGGCAGCAGUAGGGAAUUUUCCACAAUGGGCGAAAGCCUGAUGGAGCAACGCCGCGUGCAGGAUGAAUGCCUUAGGGUUGUAAACUGCUUUUAAUAGUGACGAUUAUGACGGUAACUAUUGAAUAAGGACCUGCUAACUACGUGCCAGCCGCCGCGGUAA